rnacentral:rRNA from 1 species
GGAUAAUCCCUGAGGAGAAAAGCAGGGGCUCUUAGACCUUGUGCUCUUGGAGCGGCCGAUGCCUGAUUAGCUAGUUGGUGGGGUAAAUGCCUACCAAGGCUUCGAUCAGUAGUUGGUCUGAGAGGACGACCAGCCACACUGGGACUGAGACACGGCCCAGACUCCUACGGGAGGCAGCAGUGGGGAAUUUUGGACAAUGGGGGCAACCCUGAUCCAGCCAUGCCGCGUGAGUGAAGAAGGCCUUCGGGUUGUAAAGCUCUUUCAGUCGGGAAGAAAAGGUUACGGUUAAUACCUGUAACUCAUGACGGUACCGACAGAAGAAG